UACAGAGGUCUCAACCGUUGUUCGGAUUCAUUGGGCGUAAAGGGUGCGUAGGCGGUCGCGUAAGUCGGAUGUGAAAUCUCAGGGCCCAACCCUGAAACUGCAUUCGAUACUGCGUGGCUAGGGUACUGGAGAGGAGACUGGAAUUUACGGUGUAGCAGUGAAAUGCGUAGAUAUCGUAAGGAAGACCAGUGGCGAAGGCGAGUCUCUGGACAGUUACCGACGCUGAGGCACGAAGGUCAGGGGAGCAAACGGG
rnacentral:rRNA from 1 species